rnacentral:rRNA from 1 species
CCCUUAGAUGUUCUGGGCUGCACGCGUGUUACAAUCGGGAAUACAACAAGAUUGCAAAUCCUAGUGGAUGAGUGGUUCUUCGAAAUUUUCUGAAGACUGGGAUAGUUGAUUGAAAUUAUUCAACUCGAACGAGGAAUUCCUUGUAAUUGUAAUUCAUUAUAUUGUAAUGAAUACGUCCCUGCCCGUUGUACACACCGCCCGUCGCUCCUACCGAUUGAACGAUCCGGUGAAUUAUUUGGAGUAGCUCUGGAAGUUGCAGAACUUCCUAUGUCACGAAAUUUUGUAAACCUUAUCGUUUAGAGGAAGGAAAAGUCGUAACA